rnacentral:rRNA from 1 species
GAUGAACGCUGGCGGCGUGCCUAAUACAUGCAAGUCGAGCGAACGGACGAGAAGCUUGCUUCUCUGAUGUUAGCGGCGGACGGGUGAGUAACACGUGGAUAACCUACCUAUAAGACUGGGAUAACUUCGGGAAACCGGAGCUAAUACCGGAUAAUAUUUUGAACCGCAUGGUUCAAAAGUGAAAGACGGUCUUGCUGUCACUUAUAGAUGGAUCCGCGCUGCAUUAGCUAGUUGGUAAGGUAACGGCUUACCAAGGCAAGGAUGCAUAGCCGACCUGAGAGGGUGAUCGGCCACCUGGGAACGGGGACACGGUCAAGACUCCUACGGGAGGGAGCAGUAGGGAACCGUCCGCAAUGGGCGAAAGCCUGACGGAGCAACGCGGCGUGAGUGAUGAAGGUCUUCGGAUCGUAAAACUCUGUUAUUAGGGAAGAACAUAUGUGUAAGUAACUGUGCACAUCUUGACGGUACCUAAUCAGAAAGCCACGGCUAACUACGUG